GACGAACGCUGGCGGCGUGCUUAACACAUGUAAGUCGAACGGUGAAGCUCCAGCUUGCUGGAGUGGAUCAGUGGCGAACGGGUGAGUAACACGUGAGCAACCUGCCCCUGACUCUGGAAUAAGCGCUGGAAACGGCGUCUAAUACUGGAUACGAGAAGGGUCCGCAUGGGCACUUUCUGGAAAGUUUUUCGGUUGGGGAUGGGCUCGCGGCCUAUCAGCUUGUUGGUGAGGUAAUGGCUCACCAAGGCGACGACGGGUAGCCGGCCUGAGAGGGCGACCGGCCACACUGGGACUGAGACACGGCCCAGACUCCUACGGGAGGCAGCAGUGGGGAAUAUUGCACAAUGGGCGAAAGCCUGAUGCAGCGACGCCGCGUGAGGGAUGACGGCCUUCGGGUUGUAAACCUCUUUCAGCAGGGAAGAAGCGAAAGUGACAGUACCUGCAGAAGAAGCACCGGCUAACUACGUG
rnacentral:rRNA from 1 species